rnacentral:misc_RNA from 1 species
AGAAGGAACCUCCAAUUACAGCUACUGAAGAUAUCGUGUACAAAUGUCUCAGUUCACGUGUCCACAGUCCACCACAUAAAUUUGUGUUCCUGGCAUAAUACUUCGAUGUUGAGACCUCAAGGCUACAUUUCCCUCUUUCUGCAAUUCUUGAGCAAUCUCCUGUCCAUGUUGUGGAUACUGAGGUACAAUUGUAGUGACCAGAUCAGCAUAUGCUUGUAUGAGUGCUUUGUGAACUCUGAGCACAACUUUUUCUUCACCCCUAUGUAUGCAAGAAGCCAUCCAAACAUGCCGAGAGGCAAGC